rnacentral:rRNA from 1 species
ACAAGCAGAGGGGGCUUAGUGGUGGGGUGACUGCGUACCUUUUGUAUAAUGGGUCAGCGACUUAUAUUCUGUAGCAAGGUUAACCGUAUAGGGGAGCCGGAGGGAAACCGAGUCUUAAUUGGGCGUUAAGUUGCAGGGUAUAGACCCGAAACCCGGUGAUCUAGCCAUGGGCAGGUUGAAGGUUGGGUAACACUAACUGGAGGACCGAACCGACUAAUGUUGAAAAAUUAGCGGAUGACCUGUGGCUGGGGGUGAAAGGCCAAUCAAACCGGGAGAUAGCUGGUUCUCCCCGAAAGCUAUUUAGGUAGCGCCUCGUGAAUUCAUCUCCGGGGGUAGAGCACUGUUUCGGCUAGGGGGCCAUCCCGGCUUACCAACCCGAUGCAAACUGCGAAUACCGGAGAAUGUUAUCACGGGAGACACACGGCGGGUGCUAACGUCCGUCGUGAAGAGGGAAACAACCCAGACCGCCAGCUAAGGUCCCAAAGUCAUGGUUAAGUGGGAAACGAUGUGGGAAGGCCCAGACAGCCAGGAUGUUGGCUUAGAAGCAGCCAUCAUUUAAAGAAAGCGUAAUAGCUCACUGGUCGAGUCGGCCUGCGCGGAAGAUGUAACGGGGCUAAACCAUGCACCGAAGCUGCGGCAGCGAACGUAUCACUUAAAGCGAUUCAGCGGGUUACGAUUGACGGAGCGAAGCGACGUCAAAGCGUAUACAAAGUCGAGUCGGUUUAAGGAUACGUUCGUUGGGUAGGGGAGCGUUCUGUAAGCCUGCGAAGGUGGCCUGUGAGGGUUGCUGGAGGUAUCAGAAGUGCGAAUGCUGACAUAAGUAACGAUAAAGCGGGUGAAAAGCCCGCUCGCCGGAAGACCAAGGGUUCCUGUCCAACGUUAAUCGGGGCAGGGUGAGUCGACCCCUAAGGCGAGGCCGAAAGGCGUAGUCGAUGGGAAACGGGUUAAUAUUCCCGUACUUGGUGUUACUGCGAAGGGGGGACGGAGAAGGCUAUGUUGGCCGGGCGACGGUUGUCCCGGUUUAAGCGUGUAGGCUGGUUUUCCAGGCAAAUCCGGAAAAUCAAGGCUGAGGCGUGACGACGAGGCACUACGGUGCUGAAGCAACAAAUGCCCUGCUUCCAGGAAAAGCCUCUAAGCAUCAGGUAACACGAAAUCGUACCCCAAACCGACACAGGUGGUCAGGUAGAGAAUACCAAGGCGCUUGAGAGAACUCGGGUGAAGGAACUAGGCAAAAUGGUGCCGUAACUUCG